GCUCACGUGCGCCCAAUCGGGCGAGCAUCAGACUUUUAAUCUGAGGGUCCAGGGUGCAAGUCCCUGUUUGGGCA
rnacentral:tRNA from 1 species